GGCGGUACGGGUGAGUAACGCGUGGAAAACCUGCCGUAUACCGGGGGAUAACACUUAGAAAUAGGUGCUAAUACCGCAUAAGCGCACAGCUUCGCAUGAAGCAGUGUGAAAAACUCCGGUGGUAUAUGAUGGUUCCGCGUCUGAUUAGCUAGUUGGCGGGGUAACGGCCCACCAAGGCAGCGAUCAGUAGCCGGCCUGAGAGGGUGAACGGCCACAUUGGGACUGAGACACGGCCCAAACUCCUACGGGAGGCAGCAGUGGGGAAUAUUGCACAAUGGGGGAAACCCUGAUGCAGCGACGCCGCGUGAGUGAAGAAGUAUUUCGGUACGUAAAGCUCUAUCAGCAGGGAAGAAAAUGACGGUACCUGACUAAGAAGCCCCGGCUAACUACGUGCCAGCAGCCGCGGUAAUACGGAGGAUGCGAGCGUUAUCCGGAUUUAUUGGGUUUAAAGGGUGCGUAGGCGGGAUGCCAAGUCAGCGGUAAAAAUGCGGUGCUCAACGCCGUCGAGCCGUUGAAACUGGCGUUCUUGAGUGGGCGAGAAGUAUGCGGAAUGCGUGGUGUAGCGGUGAAAUGCAUAGAUAUCACGCAGAACUCCGAUUGCGAAGGCAGCAUACCGGCGCCCUACUGACGCUGAGGCACGAAAGCGUGGGUAUCGAACAGGAUUAGAUACCCUGGUAGUCCA
rnacentral:rRNA from 1 species